rnacentral:rRNA from 1 species
AAUCAACGCUGGCGGCGUGCCUAACACAUGCAAGUCGAACGCGAAAGCCCCGCAAGGGGCAAGUAGAGUGGCAAACGGGUGAGUAACACGUGGGUGACCUGCCUUCGAGUGGGGGAUAACGUCCCGAAAGGGACGCUAAUACCGCAUGACAUCCUGCCUUUGAAGAGGCGGAGAUCAAAGCUGGGGAUCGCAAGACCUAGCGCUUGAAGAGGGGCCCGCGCCCAAUUAGCUAGUUGGUGAGGUAACGGCUCACCAAGGCAACGAUCGGUAGCCGGCCUGAGAGGGCGGACGGCCACACUGGGACUGAGACACGGCCCAGACUCCUACGGGAGGCAGCAGUGGGGAAUUUUGGACAAUGGGCGAAAGCCUGAUCCAGCCAUGCCGCGUGCAGGAUGAAGGCCUUCGGGUUGUAAACUGCUUUUGUACGGAACGAAAAGACUCUUUCUAAUAAAGAGGGUCCAUGACGGUACCGUAAGAAUAAGCACCGGCUAACUACGUGCCAGCCGCCGCCGUAAUAC